UACGUAGGGUGCAAGCGUUAUCCGGAAUUAUUGGGCGUAAAGAGCUCGUAGGCGGUUUGUUGCGUUGUCCGUGAAAACUCACAACUCAAUUGUGGGCGUGCGGGCGAUACGGGCAGACUGGAGUACUGCAGGGGAGACUGGAAUUCCUGGUGUAGCGGUGGAAUGCGCAGAUAUCAGGAGGAACACCGGUGGCGAAGGCGGGUCUCUGGGCAGUAACUGACGCUGAGGAGCGAAAGCGUGGGGAGCGAACAGG
rnacentral:rRNA from 1 species